CUGUUUGCUUUGGUGACACAAAUACCAAAAUUGGAUCAAUACAGAGAUUAGCAUAGCUCUUGCACAAAGAUAACAUAGAAGUUUGUGAAGCAUUCCAAGAAGGA
ensembl:snRNA U6 U6 spliceosomal RNA